UAACUCAAAUGGGCGUCUUCUCCACACCUUCCUUCCAAUACUUAAAGUCGUGGGUGUUGUUUAAGCAAGAGAGAGAGUGAGAGAGCCCCAAAUGAGAAGGGGCAGAGAAGAAAGGAAACUGAGAGGUUCCAGUCUCCAGUGACGACGGAUCCACGGUGGUUUGAGGCGGAGCUACGACAGUGGAGCCUGACAGCGGUGGUUUAGGGCGAUUCACCUGCUUGCUUCACCUUUCCUUUUUCUCAAACGACACUUGUCACCUCUUUCUCAAAAGAGGAGAAAGAGGGUCGUCGCAUCAGAUGAAAGAAACAGAGUGAUACAAAGGAAGAGGGGGAGAGCGAGGAGAAAGAAAGAGUGAGAACGAAGACAAGAAAGAGCGAGAAAGAGGGAUUCGGAAGAAACAGACAGAUCUGGAGCCGGCGAGUGUCCGGCGAAUGACCCCGGCACAUGCUCGCCUCCCAAUCGUACAAGGGAAGAUGUAGAAACCCUCGGUUUUUAGUCAGAUCGGCUCAUGUUUGGUGUUUACAACGGUCAUGGCGAUAGGGAUGUGGCCGAUCGCGUGGAUUGUUUGUUCUUCGUCAUGGUUUGUUCAAGGAGUUAUGCUGUCAAGAUGCUUUCUGGUCAAAGGUCAAAGUUUGGUGCUGCCUUUUACCAUCAGCCAUGUACCAUACAAGUAUUGAUUAUCAUUUUUUCAUGUACCAGUUCAUUCUAGAAUGCCAAUGAUCAACAUUUUCCUGGUAUUUAUAACCUUUAUCUAUUCUACAAACCACUUUUAUGACUUGAAUUUCAAUUUUGUUGAAUGAUUUAGAGCUGUAGUGAUGUUGAAAUUUCCUUAUUUUAUGAGUCAUGAUUAGAAACAACCAAUGGAUACUUCUGAGCACGCUAAUUUCAUUAUGUUUUAUUUUAAAUUCAAAUAAGUACAAUGAAGUUAAGAUACCAUUAAGCUGAUGGGAAAGUUGUCGGAAAAUGUAGAAAUAUAAACUGCAAAUACACUUUUGGUUAUAAACCAGGAAAAAGGGUUGUUAGCUUUGAGUAAGGGCGUUAUGGUAAUCCUACUACCCAUGUUUCCGAGGAAAAGAUAAGGUAUUGUUAAUUCGGUAUUGGUUUUCAAUUUAGUUUCCCCUUUGAUAAAGUUUCAACUUCUUAUCUAAUUAUCUAUGAACUUUUUUCUAAUAUCUUUUGUUUAAUUACAUGUAAUUUUAGGUAUUGGAAUCUGAUUGGUGAUGUGAAAGGAAAGGUUGCUGUCAUCUUGGAUGCUAAGUUUGACACAGCCAGUGAGUCUUUUUAAAAAUAAGUCAAAUAUUAGUGCCACCUUGUAUCACAAUUUUGCUACAUUGUGUGUUGUUUUUCAGGAACCCGGCCGCAACGCGGCGGGUACUUUUCCUAGUAUCAUCUAAAAAUCACUUUGUUCUAUUGCGGCUGCUCUAAAGCAGUAAGUGCAUAAAUACUGAUUCUAAUAUUUCAUUUAAAAUGGAAUUUUUUUUUCAUAGA